rnacentral:rRNA from 1 species
GAUGAACGCUGGCGGCGUGCCUAAUACAUGCAAGUCGAGCGAACAGACGAGGAGCUUGCUCCUCUGACGUUAGCGGCGGACGGGUGAGUAACACGUGGAUAACCUACCUAUAAGACUGGGAUAACUUCGGGAAACCGGAGCUAAUACCGGAUAAUAUAUUGAACCGCGUGGUUCAAUAGUGAAAGACGGUUUUGCUGUCACUUAUAGAUGGAUCCGCGCCGCAUUAGCUAGUUGGUAAGGUAACGGCUUACCAAGGCGACGAUGCGUAGCCGACCUGAGAGGGUGAUCGCCCACACUGGAACUGAGACACGGUCCAGACUCCUACGGGAGGCAGCAGUAGGGAAUCUUCCGCAAUGGGCGAAAGCCUGACGGAGCAACGCCGCGUGAGUGAUGAAGGUCUUCGGAUCGUAAAACUCUGUUAUUAGGGAAGAACAAAUGUGUAAGUAACUAUGCACGUCUUGACGGUACCUAAUCAGAAAGCCACGGCUAACUACGUG